CAGAGACUGCAAGCGUUAUUCGGAUUCACUGGGCGUAAAGGGUGCGCAGGCGGUUGGGUGUGUCAGAUGUGAAAUCCCGAGGCUUAACCUCGGAACUGCGUCUGAAACUACUCGACUAGAGUAUUGGAGAGGGUAACGGAAUUCACGGUGUAGCAGUGAAAUGCGUAGAUAUCGUGAGGAACACCAGAGGCGAAGGCGGUUACCUGGACAAUUACUGACGCUCAGGCACGAAAGCAUGGGGAGCAAAAGGGAUUAGAUACCCCUGUAGUCCAUGCCCUAAACGGUGCACACUAGGUCUUAGCGGAUUCGACCCCACUAGGGCCCAAGCUAGCGCGUUAAGUGUGCCGCCUGAGGACUACGGUCGCAAGACUA
rnacentral:rRNA from 1 species